GAAACUUUUCACUGUAGUCUCAAGAAGAUAGUAACAUCUGUGCUACUGGAAAGGCUCUCUCCCCUGCCGGCUUUGAGGAAGCAAGCAGCCACACUGGAAUGCCUACAUGGCAAGGAACUGAGGGCAACCUCCAGCCAACAGAUGGCAAGAACUGAGGCCCUCUGUCCAGCCAUCUGUAAGAAACUGAAUGUUGCCCAACCACCAUGUGAGCUGAGAAGUGGAUCCUUCCCCAACAAGCCUCAGAUGAGACCACAGUCCUGACCAACACCUUCAUUGCAGCCCUGUGGGUCCCUGAAGCAGAGGACCCAGCUAAGCCUGAAAGAAACUACAAGGUCAUUAAUGUGUGUUGUUUAAAGUCACUAAGUUUGUGGUGAUAUUGUUAUGUAACAAUAUACUAAUACAAUAGCUGCCUAUUUUAAUUUGGUGGCUACCAUGUCUUCUGGGAUCGAGACUUUCUAAAGCUCUACUCAGUCUCCUGAAUCAAUGGUUUUCUUUGAUGGGAAUCACUCUGCUUCUUCUCUGGGUGCCUCUCAUGAUGUUGGGUUUUUCAGAAGUCUCAUGAAUCUUGCAUGGUUGUGAAGUGCACAUAAAGUCCCUAGCUGUAAAGAACUUUCUAAUGGGUGUGAAAUAGGAUUAGAGACAAAGACAGUAAGCAUAAGUAUUUUCAGUUAGUAACAGUUACCAAUAAAAAAUGUAGGAUAAUAUGAUAGUGAUGGCAUGCACGUGUUGGAAGUUAGUGGAGGCUAUCUCCCCAGUGGUCAAAGGAGGUCUUGCUGGAGAAAUUAUAUUUUACUAACUUGAAGCAGCAGCUGUAAGGAAGAGCUUUCCACACUCAAAGAACAGUGUAAUGUUCCCUACCCCACAUUGCUGCUGUAACAAACUACCAUAAACUUAGCAGCUUAGAACCACACACAGUUAUGACCCCACAGUUCUGUACAUCAGAAGUAUAGGAGUCUCUACCAGUUUCUCUGCUCUGGGUCCCAUAAGACUGAAAUCAAGGUGUCAGCCGGCCUGGAUUCUCAUCUGGAACCUCUGGGUGAGGCUUCCUGGCUUAUUUAGGUUGCUGGCAGAAUUCCCUUCUAUGCAGUUCUAGGACUGACACCUCUGGUUUUUGUUGGCUAUUGUCUGGAGGCUCCUGUCAGCUCCUAGAGACUUCUCUCCAGCCUUCGUGCAUGGGCUCCUGAUUCACAGAGCUGCAACUUCAGAGAAAAUCCUUCUCAUGCUCGGAAUCUUGGACAUCCUCUCUGCCACAUCUUUCUUCUGCCUCUUUAGCCCUCCUCUUCUCUAACCAGCCAGAGAACAUUCUCUGCUUUUAAGGACUUGUGAAAUUAGAUUGGCCCUACACAAAUAAUUCAAGAUAACCUCCCUAUCUGCAGGUCUGUAACCGCAUUACCUCUGCAAAGUCCCUUCCCAGCAGUACCUAGAUUUGACUGAAUAAGCAGGGGAUGGGUCUCUUGGAGGAACAUCUUCAGAAUUCUGCCUACCACACUUCCUAUAUGAGAAACAUGUUUGUUGCACCUUAAGAUCCAGUGGGAUGAAGGAAAGUAAGAAAGGAGAGUGAAGAGAAAUGAUAUUUGGCUCUAGGAAGGAAUUUGGAUUUUAUUUUCAUUUAGAUGGGAAUCUAUUGGAGGAUUUUUACAAGGGGAAGUAAUGUUAAGUUAUACUUUAAAAGUGAUCAGUAUGCUGACAGGAGAAAGCUUCCUUAGCAAUUGUCUUUCAUAUUGCCCAGCCAUGGAUAGAGAUGUGUUAACUGUGGCGUGAGCAAGACCUCCUCUAUGUCUUGGCGUAAGCCUGCAUGUGUCAGUGGCAAGGAUAUAGAGAAACUGUAGGAAGUGGGGGUCGACCCUUAAAAAAAUGUGGAAGUAGGUAAAAAGUUACCGAGACAGGAGUGAGUUACAUCAAGAAGUUCCACUGCUUCAUCAAAUACUUGUGCUUCUGUCUAACGUGGCAACCAAGUACCUGCCAUCCUGACUCACUUCUCAGGCUGCAGGGCCCACAAAAGCCAGGCGACUGUAAAUGACUCCCCCUGAUUUAGGGAACUCCACUUCCCAGUGGUUCCACAAGAACAGUUGGGCAUGAGCUCCGCAAGGCUUGUCUUGGCAAUCCUUUCAGAUACCAGACCACUGGCCCACAGCCUAUUUUGCUGCCUAAGCUAGGGGUACAGCCCAGGCACUGCUGAGAUAACCAAUCUCAUCUGGCAUUUUCACAGCCAUUAUUUAGCUCAGGGAUUCCAACAACCCAGUACCAUUUGCCUUGUGACCUCCAGAAACACCUGUCAUAUUUGAAAAUGGUAACCUUCUCUCUUUUCCAACAUCACACUGGAUUGAUUCUUAGUGUGUAUUUUUUCAUUUCAAUGAAAAUUUUGCACAUACGGGCAGGAAAGGUAAAUUUGUGGCUUAGGCCACUAUUUUAAAUGGAAAGUUUGUUACUAUACCUUUUAUUAUUAAGCUAAUAUAUUCUUCUGGGGGAAAAAAAAUGCUGGGGUAGUUUUUUCCUAGAAGCCUUUUAAGGGAAAGUUGAGCUGCAUGCAUUUCUUGGAUACAAAGGUAAGGUGCAACUCUGACACUAAAGCAUGAGACUACCAAGCGCUGAUGGCUCCCUCUCUGGGACUGCAUGGCUUCAUCACACAUGGGGAUGAGAACUGGGGCCUGACAGUCCAGGGCAGUGAGUGAAGGUGAGCAAAGGAGGAGACAAGGCCUCUGCUCUGGACUCACUGACUGCACAGGUUGUUAUAAUAUGGGAGUGCUUGCCCUCGCCAUAUCCGAGGAACCUGGGACUUAGCUACGUUUCCCCUGCCAUCUCUACAUUUCUGAGCAGAAAUGGAUUGAGAGAGCUCUAAUAGCUGUGUUUCACUGGCCGUGGCAGGCCCUGUUGGUCAGCAGGCACACCGCUGCUUGUUGAGAUGCCUGAGCCCAGCUGUCACAAAACACCAAUGGCCCAAGUGCCCUUAACAACAGCAUGUUGCCUUUAUAAAACGCCACCUUAUGUGGACUUCCUAAUUUUUCUUUUUCUCUUAAGUGGUUAUUAUAUAUUAAGUGGUCCAUUAUGCUGACUUAACUCCUUAAUAAAGCCCUCUCUUCAUGUUUUCCCGUUGUUUUUAUAAUGAGCCAAAUUAGUAAUAAAGUUAGCCCUUACCUGACUAUACUUUGUUUUGUACCUCCCAGUACCCAGCACCUGAUACUGUGUAAGCAAUUCUCAAAUUCAUAAAUUUUUGGUAAGUGAUAACAGAAAUCUGGAUGUGUUAUUAAGGAAUGACCAGUACAAUUUCCCUUUAUCACUAAAAAAACAAAUCUUACGGAGUCUGUACAAACUCUCUAAGGUUAGAAUCACUGGCAGUUUUCUAAUGUCCAUUUUAAUGCUCUUUCCAUUAUAAGCCGUGUUGUAAAAGUAUUUUUUAAGGGCAAGAGUUAAAAGUGGUGACUGCAUCUUAUCUAUUCUCCCAAGACUCCCUCCAUUCACCCAGGCUGCUGGGGCAAACCUUCAAGAUGGCCUCACCUGCUUAAACUGUUUAAAAUGUGCUCCCUCACCACCAGCUCCCCAACUAAGGUCAAGAACUAGGAAUAUAAGAAGGAAGUAAAAAGAUGUUAUCUUUAUCCAACCUGUCCUUUUGCCAUGGACCUUGAUAGAAUCCUUUCUUUUAAUCAGAUCCCUAAAGGUGGGCUGUAAAGUGUCCCUUAAAAAAACACUGGGAGAGUAAAAAUGGAGACCAAUAAAUAACAUAUAAGCAUGAGUAGAGAAAAAUAAUAAUCUGGGACAGACCUUUAAAAAAGUUCUAAAGUGUAGAAAAGGAGAAACAUAACUAAGAGAUAUUUCUUUGGAAUUAGAAUUUUUCCACAAAACUAAAGAUAGAUGGCAUAUGAUCUCUAAUAAUAUGAUGCAAAUACCACAAACACUAAGCAGAAUGAGCUAGGACAACCACACAAAAUAGCUGAAAAGAUCCUUCACAGCAACAAGAGCAAAAUCAAGGCAGAUUCAAAGAAGAGGCACAAUCAUAAAACAUGAACCAGGCCUUUUAAAUCUGUAUUUUACUAUUUAAUCCUCACUCUCCAACAAGACAGGUAUAAACUAUUCUCACUUUAGAAUUGAGAUUGAAUAAUUAAGUAACCAACAGUCACCAGUAAAUGACAGAGCCAGAAUUCAACAGGUCUAUUUGGCUCCACAGCCCAUGAUCUUUAGACUAUGAUUCCAUUAAGACCAGCUUGUCAAUAUGAAAGGCACACCUGAGAGAUAUUUUAGAAUUGAGAAAAUGAGUUAAAAUUUCAGAAAAUUAGAAAUUUACCACAGAAUGAAUACAUAUCAAAAGGAUCAUAUAUUAUUAUUAGAUGUAUAAUAAAGAUUUAAGAAGGCCUGAAAUCAUAAAUUAGAAUUACCAUAUUCAUAUCAAAAUUGUUAAGCAUUAAUACCAUAACCAAGUGACAUGUUUAGUAAAAUGUGUAUUUCUACUAAGGGAAUGUAAUUUUUGAAGACAUUAAAUAUCAGGCUAGCAUUCAUGUUUCUGAAACAAUAGCUAAAGACAGGGCAGUGCCACACUUGAGAUAAUUUAAUCCAAGAUUAUUAUAUUCGAUGAAGACAAUCGCAUGUGGCGAGAGUAAGCAAUCUUAAAGUUUCAGUAAGCUUCCUAUCCAACUGCUUCAGAAACACUCAAAAUCACAAAGUGUUGAGACAAAGAAAGCUUCUCUGUGGUAUAACGUAGAAACAACAGUUGACUCCCCAGCUCAAAUUUUCUUUCCAGCUUUAAAAUAUCCUGACUAUUCCUUUCAGGUUUAGAUUCUUAUUUAACAGAGUAGACCUUAAUUCAGGAAAGACCAUUUCUUGAGCUAACAAGAGAGACAUGGGCUCUGCUUAAUCCAAGAUGAGCUAAACCAACUAGACUUUCUCUCCUUGUCACAAUUUCUAAACUCCAUAGAAAGAAGUGGCCCUGUGGCUGGUGAUCAAGGGAGCUUAAAGUCAGGGCUGGCAGAAGCUGUAACUGAAAAAAACUGAUAAUAAAUAUUAAGACCAAAUUUCAGAGCUAAAUAAAACAUUAACAGCUAGAGGGCAAAUGCUGAUAAAUCUAAAUAGCUAGACCCAAGAAGGUGGGAGUGAUCUGCAAUUAAACACCAAGAAAGAAAAACUAGAGAAUUCCUUGACAUCAAUACCAAAGAAACCAAGUUUAUAGUGCUGUUUAUAUAGAAAUAGAAAGGGAUAAAGACAGUAAUGAAUAUUGUGGAAUGUUUUAGGAUGUUAAAAGAUAUAACUAAGAACUGAAGACAAGAAGUUUAACGUCCAAAUUCUAAUAAAAAAGGCCAGGCGUGGUGGCUCAUGCCUGUAAUCCCAACACUUCAGGAGGCUGAGGUGGGUGGAUCGUUUGAGGCCAGGAGUUCGAGAGCAGCCUGGGCAACAUGGUGAAACCCCAUCUCGAUUAAAAAUACAAAAAUUAGCUGGGUGUGGUGGUGCAAACCUGUGGUCUCAGCUACAAGGGAGACUGAGGCACAAGAAUCACUGGAACCCAGGAGGCAGAGGUUGCAGUGAGCUGAGAUCACACCACUGCACUCCAGCCUAGGCAACACAGCGAGACUGUUUCAAAAUAACCAAAACAAAACAAAAAAUGAAUUCUAAUGAAAGACAAUCACAUAUUACAAAGGGAAAAACUAAAAAUUGCAACAAUCUUUUAACAUAAAAACAGAAGGCAAACCAAGAAUAAAAAUUUAAACUAUAUACACAAACUGUCUAAAUUCAACAACUAAAAGUGUUUCAAUUUGUCAUUUCAAAUUGCACUGUUCACAAGAGAAAACAUUAGAACUUAAAUAUAACCUCCACGAGACCAAGGAUAUUUGUGUUGUUCAUUGCUCUACGUUCACUACCUUCAGUUUUUUGAAUAAAUGCAAAAAGAAUGCCAACAAAUACCAAAACUGCCUACUGCCCAAUGCUGCCAUAGCUCUGAUUCAGUGCAGAUGGAGUUUUACACAGGAACUACUUUUUCAAGAGGACAAUUUAGAAUGCAAGCCAAAAGCUUUAAAAAGUGCAUAUUCUUUAAUCCAGGAAUUACUCAAG
rnacentral:lncRNA from 1 species